rnacentral:lncRNA from 1 species
UGCGCACUUUUGCCGCUUGAUUUUUGAAAACAGUGAGGAAUUGGCAGUGGAAAUUUAGCUUGAUCCAGAUUCCAGAACAAAGAAAAAGGUAAAAUAAUGAUUGCACAUUACACCAAAUAGGUUCUCCAUGAUAAAAACAAGUUUGAUUGAUGAAAAUAAAACAGCUGUUACCGUGUUGGGCGCCUCUUUCAAGUCGGUUAUACGUGAUCGUGUUGAAAUAUGAUACUUUUUCUUAUACUGUCAAUAUAUUGCACUGAUACAAGAUAUUUUAGCCAUGAUGUGUGUUAUUUGAAUCCAUUUAUCAAAUUUCUUGAUUAACUUGUGUUGUUUCUGAAGAUAUAUGCAAUUAAAAAUAAGUAAUAAACUGUAGAAAGUAAAAAAAAAGGGGGAGGGGUGCACAGCCACAAGUACUUGUUUUCUAUCUGUGACAAGAGCUACUAUCCCUAUAUAUUAAGGCUACAAGUGUCUUUUGCUCUGUUAUUUUUUGAUAAUCAUUGAAGCAUAAAAGUCUUAUCCAUGUUAUCAAUAUCAGAAAAUGUGAAGCUAAACAUCUCAGCACUUUAGAUAUCUUGGGUCCAUUACAAACUCCGCACAUUUCAAACUUGGCAUAUUACCAACCGGCCUAUUAAUGAUAAUGCUGCAUAUAUCACUGGGGGUCGUCGCUAACAUGCAUGAAAUAUUUGCCACUGGAUGUUGAGCAACAAACGAUCAAUCAUUGUAUCACUGGGUCUGACAUGGAAAUAGACAAUUGUGCCAAUAAAGAUGUUGUAAAAUAUAGGCGUCACAGAAAAAAAAUUAAGAUAGCCAUCCAGGUUGUCGUAAUAGGAUUAGGUCGUUGUAGGAAGGCGUCCCAGAAAAAAUAAAAAAACAGCCUUCCAAGUCUUGAAAGUGUCAUAAUGAUUUAGACUAGGAUCUAGCCUUGAAAGUUGGGUAAAAUUUUCUUGUUUUCAGGGUAAAACCCAGUUUACAGGUGUUAAAACAGUACAUAGGGACAUCUUUUUUUGCUGUACAAUUUAUAAUAUGAAAUCUACAUGUUUAUCAAUGACGAGCUACAUGUACAAUCACUAAAUAUGUGAUCAGAAACCAUGUUGUAAUCAAUCAUAAAACAUAUGAAUUUUGGAAUGCAUUUAAAUUUGUCACUUUGUUCUCCUAAAGAUUUGUUGGACUAACAUUUUUUUUUUAUAUAAAUAAGGCGGUGAAUUUUCUCGUUUGAAUUGUUUCACAUUGUCAUUUCGGGCCUUUCAUAGCUGGCUAUGCGGUAUGGGCUUUGCUCAUUGUUGAAGGCAGUACGGUUACCUAUAAAUGUUAAUUUCUGUGUCAUUUUGGUCUCUUGUAAAGAGUUAUCUCAUUGGCAAUCAUACCACAUCUUCUUUUUUAUAUGAAACAGACAGAAGAAGAAUAUAAAAGAUAAUUGAACGUAUUUUUAAUUUUUUUCCAGAGUCUUGUAUAUAAAUCCACAGAUCCAAUGUGUCUGAGGUUGAGGAAAUCAUUGCAGUAACCAUGUAACAGUUAAGCAUGCACCAGCUCAAGAAUUUGGACCAAGAUUUUAAAAAGGUAAACAUCAGUUGAUCAGCUCUUUUUCUGUCCUCCUUAACUGAGUGAUAUAGUUUAACUCUUGUACUGUACGUACAUACAUGUACAUUGAACUCAAAAUUGGAUUUUGUUAUCUAACGUUUGCCUAAACCACAUGUUAUGCAACCAAUACACAACGCUUAUUAUCAUAAAACGCAGAGUUUGAAUUUGGAGAGCAUCUGCUUUACUGUUCUCUAGAUAUGUCCUUUAAAUUAAGUUUGAUAAGAUCAUUUGUGGCUCAUGGACACAUUCUUCUUAUAUUAAUUAUAAUUUGUUGAUUUUAUAGAUUGCGUUCAUUGGCAUAUGCUAUGAGGUCUUGUUGUAUCGAUGUACAUGCUAAAUUUAUUAAGGUAGAAUCCUUUGCAUAUCUUAAAUUAAUUGAAAAAUGACAAUAUUGUGAAACCAAACUUCCUUUAUUAAUUAUUUGGACUCAUUAUUAUUUGUAGAAUAACCACUGGUUGCUCCAGAAAAUAUUAUGUCCCCUCUCCCCCAGGGAAAGCUCUUUUCUUAAAUUUUAUUUGGGGGUGGUUGUGUAUGAAAUACCAAAAUGCAAAGGAAGUGUUGUUUCUUAUUAAUUUUUAAUUCUGUCGGUGCUGGGAUUUUUUUUUUUUAAAAGGGCUUAGGGCUGUCCCUUAGGGGCGGACAUAGUAUUUUCUGGAACAGACAUAAUUUCGUUCAAGGUUAAUCAUAAGUUAUGAAUAAUUAUAUACUGUUGAAAUUGUGGUUAAAUUUCUAACAUACAUCAUCAAAAUGUGUAUAAUUGGCAAAGAUACAAACAUCUCAGUAACAACAUAACAUAAUUAUGAAUCUGCAGUUUAUUAUAGGACCAGCAAUAGAAAAAAUAUUGAUUAUGUGUAAACACAGGAUAAUUUUUAAGAACUGCUGUAAUUCAUAAGUUGGGAUCAAUUUAUUUUUUUGUAUUUUAUAAUUUAUGAUUUUUUUUUUCAGAGAUCUGAAACCAACACAAGACCAGCUGGGUCAAUAUUCCUAAUGCGCCUCCAAAUGAGGAACUAAUGCGCCAUCAAAUGAGGAACACAAAAGUUGUGUGUAAACAAAAAUUGUCUCUGUAGUGAUAUUGAACAUGUUUCAUUUUUAACAAGUGACUGAGCUUUACCAUUUGUGUUGAUCUGGAAAGUAGAGGAUCAUAGUAUAAAUAUGUAAAAACUAUGGAGUUUUUUAAUGUAUUCAAAGUUUUAAAAUUUUCAAAGAAAUUGUUGUGUGAAAAAAAAACUCGCACUUCGUAUUCCGAAAAUUUAACCACAUAUAUGUGAAAAUGUCUUAGCUUCGAAACAAGCCAUCCUACAUAUCCAGUGUACUAUAUUGACUGAGCUAGAGUAGAAAACAUUACCAAUACCAACUACAUGUAUGCAGAAACAAUUGUGCAAAUUGCCCAGCUGAUUAGAGGGCAGAAAACCAACAUUUGGAAUGACAUGUACAAUGUAUACAACCAACACAAGACUAAAAUUUGGAAUAAAAAUUAAAAAUUCAGAAAC